UUAAUCGACCGAACACGAAGUCCUUUCCUCCUCGUCUUCAUCAACUCCUUCAUGUCUGAAACGUAGAAAGUCAAAAACUUGCAUUACCUCAUUUACUUCUCCAUUAAUACAGCACAUAAAUAAGACCCAGAUAGCCCUUUUGACCUGUUUCUUCUUUGAUGUUUUCUUGACCAUUAACGAGGAAAAGAGGUGGAGAUUGAUCUGUAUUUGUAUUUAUACUUAAAGAGAGAUGUUGGAGAAGAUUAGACUACCAGCAAGGCCAUCAUUGAGAGGGAGUGAUUGGGUAGCUGAUGCUUCACAUUGUCAGGGAUGCUCUUCUCAGUUCACUUUCAUCAAUCGCAAGCAUCAUUGCCGAAGAUGUGGAGGUUUGUUUUGUGGCAAUUGUACUCAGCAAAGAAUGGUUUUGCGAGGUCAAGGUGAUUCUUCUGUGCGUAUUUGUGAUCCUUGUAAAAAGUUAGAAGAGGCUGUACGUUUUGAGAUGCGGUACGGACACAAGAAUAGAGCUGGGAAAGGAAGUUCAAGAAUGAUGGCAAAGAACGAGGAUGAAAUUUUGAAUGAGAUUCUAGGCAAUGAUAGAAAGGAAACUUCUUCAUCAGGACGACAGUCCAACACUGACAUGUUUUCUAGCAUUCAAAGGGCAAGUAGCUGUGCUUCCUACUCAAAUACUCAACAAGUUGAUGCUCUGGAUGGUGGAGGAGAAAUACAUAGAAGUCAUUCUGUGGAUGAGUGCAAUCAUGUAUAUAGUGAGGUGGGAUCAACCACCCCUGAGGGAUUGCAUCAACAAGCUUUGGAUGAAAAGAAGAGGUAUAAAAUCUUGAAAGCUGAGGGGAAGUCUGAGGAGGCCUUGAAAGCCUUUAAGAGAGGAAAGGAGCUUGAGAGGCAGGCUGAUGCUUUGGAAUUGUCUACUAGAAAAAAUCGUCGGAAGGUUUUGUCUUCUAGCAACGUAGUUGAGAUUCCGAAUGAAGACGGCCCCAAAGAAUCUGUCAGAAAAAGUAAACGCCUUGCUCAAGUCAAUGAAAAGGACAACUUUACUGCUGAACUCAGAGAAUUAGGGUGGUCUGAUAUGGAUCUCCAUGACAAAGACAAAAAACUGGUGAAAAUGAGUUUGGAGGGUGAACUGUCUUCUCUUCUUGGAGAAAUCUCUGGUAGAACUAAUAAGAACACUGGAAGCAGUGGCAUUGACAAAACCCAGGUUUUUGAACUUAAAAGAAAGGCGCUAGCUUUGAAACGUGAAGGAAAGCUUGCUGAAGCCAAGGAAGAAUUGAAGAAAGCAAAAGUUUUAGAACAGCAGCUUGAAGAACAGGAGUUGUUGGGUGUGAAUGAAGAUUCUGAUGAUGAGAUAUCUGCUUUAAUCUCUAGCAUGGACAGUGAUCAAGAAGACAAACUAUUUGCUGAGGAUGAGCAGGGUCAUGAUUUUGAUUUUGAUCACCUUGUGGGCACAGCUGAUGAUCUCCAUGUUGAUGGUAACUUUGAAGUGACACAUGAGGAUCUGGUGGAUCCAGAAUUAGCUGCUACACUUAAAUCAUUAGGCUGGACUGAUGAUUCUGAUACUUUGGAAACCACUGCUACACAGUCUGUCCCAAUUGAUAGGGAAACUCUACAAAGUGAAAUUCUUUCACUGAAAAGAGAAGCACUUAACCACAAACGAGCUGGCAAUGUUGCAGAGGCUAUGGCUCAUCUAAAGAAGGCAAAGUUGCUUGAGAGGGACCUUGAAAGCUUAGGAGGUGAAGUGGGCAGCUUAAUUGCACAUGAUACCACAAGAAUGAUGAAAAGUUCACCUUCCCAAAAUACUAAUGCAAAGAGCAAUGUGAAUUCUAAACCUGCACCAAAAAGUAGAUUGAUGGUUCAGAAAGAGCUCUUGGCUUUAAAAAAGAAGGCUCUUGCUUUGAAAAGGGAAGGUAGAUUGGAUGCGGCAGAGGAAGAGUUGAAGAAAGGCAAGGUUCUUGAACAGCAGCUUGAAGAGAUGGACAAUGCUUCAAAUGUCAAAGGGAAACAGGUGGCUGUUGGGAGUAAGAACCCAGAUUUGGAAAAUGAACAUCCUAGUAUUUCUGGAAGUCCACCAGUUAGAGAAGGGGAGGAGGAUGUAACAGAUCAAGAUAUGCAUGACCCAGCAUACCUUUCACUUUUAAGAAACUUAGGUUGGAAAGAUGAUGACAUUGAGCAUGCAAACUCUCCAUUUAACCCUCCUAAGGAAAGUGAUAACCUUUCUACUCAAACAAUCAAUACUUUAGACACUCAGUCUGCAUCCAGUAUCUCAUUGAGGACACCAAGAAGAAGCAAAGGUGAAAUACAGAGAGAGCUUUUAGGCCUGAAAAGAAAGGCUCUUACUUUAAGACGUGAAGGUAAGAUUGACGAGGCAGAGGAAGUGCUUAUAGCAGCAAAAGCUUUGGAGACCCAGAUUGCAGAGAUGGAAACACCGAAGAAAGAAAUUCAGAAUGAGUCUAACAAGCCCAAGGAUGAAAUUGUCAGACCUGUUAGCAGUGCAGCAGAGGAAGGAGAUGUAGAUGAUGUUGCAGAAAAAGAUAUGCAUGACCCAUCACUGCUCCCAAUGCUAAUGAAUUUAGGGUGGAAGGAUGAUGAAGUUGAAGUUGUAACCGUGCAAGCAAAGUCAUCUAAACAAGUUUUGGAUCAUUUGAUGCAUUCAACUGAUCCAUCUGCAAUUCUGCUCUCUUCCAGCAUUUCAGCUGCCAGACCAAGAAGCAAAGGUGAAAUCCAAAGAGAGCUCUUGGUUUUGAAAAGAAAGGCCCUUUCCCUUACGCGUAAUGGAGAAACUCAGGAAGCUGAGGAAUUGUUGAAAAUGGCCGAGGUACUAGAGUCCCAAAUAGAUGAUCUGGAAGCUCCAAAGAAGGAGCUCUUCCCUGAUGCUUCUGAAGACAAAAAAUAUCAGGGUACUGGAUCAUUGAAUAACCAUGUAAAGCAGAAUAAUGUGAACAAUGCAGUGGAAAUGAUUGAAAAAUUGGCAUCGGCGGCAGCAGCAGUGGAUCCUAAUGAUAAAGUUAUCGAGUCAUUCCCUGGUUUAGGAAGAAAGGGAAGUGACAAAACUGCUCCUCCCUCGUGGAGUCCUGAUAUUGUCAAUCCAGUGCCUUUUGAGAUCAAUGAAGACAACUGUCCAUCUGUAGGAGAGCUUGAUCUAUUGGAUGAAAUGGGAUCCUUAAGUAACUCAAGAAUAAGAUCCUUAAGUAACUCGAGAAUAAAUCAAGGCACUGAGUUCUUUCCUCCACCUCAUCAGUCUAUGAAUCUGAUGGAUUUGCUGACUGGUGAUAAUUGGAGUAGUCCUCAAAUACCAGCCAGAAAACUUGAAGAUAAAGUCGAUUUUGGUUCUGAUAUGUCCUGCCUGCCUGAGCCUCAUGUUCAUGUUGGCUCCUUGAGAAGUGGGCUUGAAAAUCUCAGAAGCAAGGACAGAGAAGCCAAUUCUAUUUCUGAUGUUUUCCAUUUUCCUGAUCCCCAUGUUCAUAUGGGUUCCAUGAUACAUGCACCUAUGGAUCUUGGAAGCACAGAAAAUGUUAGAACUGGAAAGAGAGAAGAAACAUUUCAUUCAGGCAAGGAGCCCCAUGUUGAUAAAACAGAUUCUGCUCAGGGAUUGGGUUCCCAGAACAACAUAAAUGCCCUUCAACAAGAAGUUUUGGCUCGCAAGAGGAAGGCAGUUGCGUUAAAGAGAGAAGGGAAAUUGGCAGAGGCUCGAGAGGAACUUCGGCAGGCAAAGCUGUUGGAGAAGAGUCUUGAGGUCGAGACCCUUGAGCCUGUAAGGGGUACCCAUGAUGGGUCAACAUAUGUGUCAAAUGCUCCUCCUCUUCAACAAAAGGAUCCCAGUGCCCCAAAAUUUUCUCCAAAACCACUGUCUGGGCGUGAUCGAUUUAAGUUGCAACAGGAGUCACUGAGCCACAAACGUCAGGCCCUAAAGCUGCGAAGAGAAGGCCAGGUGGAAGAAGCAGAAGCUGAGCUUGAAUUGGCCAAGGCUUUGGAAGCCCAGUUGGAUGAAAUAUCUUCUAAUGAUUCUGGAAAGUCUUCUGUCAACAUAGCAGAGCCAGUAGAUGAUGUAGUUGUUGAAGAUCUUCUCGAUCCCCAACUUCUAUCUGCCUUGAGAGCAAUUGGUAUUGAAGAUAGAAAUAUUAUAUCACAAAGUUCAGAGAGACCAGGGCCUGCAAAAGUUAGUCCUACCAAGAGUGAAAAAAAUAGCCAGGAAAGAAAUCAGUUGGAAGAACGGAUCAAGACAGAGAAGGUAAAGGCAGUAAAUUUGAAACGUGCAGGGAAGCAAGCUGAAGCUUUGGAUGCUCUCCGACGGGCCAAAUUAUAUGAAAAGAAACUAAAUUCCUUGGAAUGAAUUUGAUCAUUAAGGAUGCUUGAGAAUCUUCCUAGUAUGUUUUCAGGAACACAUUUGGAUUGGAGAUAAAUAAAGUUCCUUUUCCCACAUUGGAUCCGUACGAAUUUGUAUUAUGGAAACUAGAGGGACAUUGUACCACAUGAAUUUGCAUACCUUUAUGGUGAGAGAGAGAGUAUUGUCGAAUGGUUCUCAAGCAGGUGUUCUGGGAAUUUUCACAAACUGUUGCCUGACAACGAAUUUUGUGAAAAAUGAGAAACUUUGUGAAGUCCCCUGGAGAUUCUACGAGGACAUUUAGAAAUUGUCCCACCAUUUUUUUCCCUGUUAUUUGAAAAUUUUGGAGGAGCUGUGUUACUAAUUUCAGAUUCAAAUACAUGAACUUAAAUGCAUGAACUUAAAUGCAUGAACUGAAGUGCUGGUUGCUUUUCUACCUUUUUCCAGUGGUUUAGUCUUUUCCUUUCUUCAUCAUCUUUGUUCCCCGGUUUAUUCUU